UGGGGAAUAUUGGACAAUGGGCGCAAGCCUGAUGCAGCCAUGCCGCGUGUGUGAAGAAGGCCUUCGGGUUGUAAAGCACUUUCAGCGAGGAGGAAGGGUAGUGUGUUAAUAGCACAUUGCAUUGACGUUACUCGCAGAAGAAGCACCGGCUAACUCCGUGCCAGCAGCCGCGGUAAUACGGAGGGUGCAAGCGUUAAUCGGAAUUACUGGGCGUAAAGCGCACGCAGGCGGUUUGUUAAGUCAGAUGUGAAAUCCCCGCGCUUAACGUGGGAACUGCAUUUGAAACUGGCAAGCUAGAGUCUUGUAGAGGGGGGUAGAAUUCCAGGUGUAGCGGUGAAAUGCGUAGAGAUCUGGAGGAAUACCGGUGGCGAAGGCGGCCCCCUGGACAAAGACUGACGCUCAGGUGCGAAAGCGUGGGGAGCAAACA
rnacentral:rRNA from 1 species